rnacentral:rRNA from 1 species
AAUCUUACCGGGGUCCGGACACACUGAGCAGACAGUUGUCUUUCCCUCCCUUCGGGGUGGGAUAAAAGAUAACAGAUCUUUCAUGAUCAUGUGAUGGGUGGUGCAUGGCCGUUCUUAGUUCGUGGAGUGAUCUGUCUGCUUAAUUGCGUUUCAAAUUUUAUAUUUGUUAACAUGCGAGUCUUCAAUGACGGCCACUCCACCUUAUAGACAUUAUAUGAUAUGCACAUUUGUGUAUUUGAUUAUAACUUGUCUGGAGUCUGGCUCGAUUUUUUUGACUCAAUUGAACGCAACGGACGUGAUUGCAAGUCCUUGUUGAACAAAUUAUAUAUAUACUACUUCAUCAUUAGUAUAUAUAGUUUUCUCAUGUCUCAAACGGGCGGGCGUCUUAAUUGGCGCGG